GUAGGUGGCAAGCGUUGUCCGGAAUUAUUGGGCGUAAAGCGCGCGCAGGCGGUCCUUUAAGGUCUGAUGUGAAAGCCCACGGGCUCAACCGUGAGGGUCAUUGGAAACUGGGGGACUUGAGUACAGAAGAGGAAAGCGGAAUUCCAAGUGUAGCGGUGAAAUGCGUAGAGAUUUGGAGGAACACCAGUGGCGAAGGCGGCUUUCUGGUCUGUAACUGACGCUGAGGCGCGAAAGCGUGGGGAGCAAACAGGAUUAGAUACCCUGGUAGUCCACGCCGUAAACGAUGAGUGCUAAGUGUUAGGGGGUUUCCGCCCCUUAGUGCUGCAGCUAACGCAUUAAGCACUCCGCCUGGGGAGUACGGCCGCAAAGGCUGA
rnacentral:rRNA from 1 species